UCCACCUGCCUCGGCCUCCCAGAGUGUUAGGAUUACACGUGUGAGCCACUGCACCCAGCCCUCAUAUUACUUUUCUUACAGGGAAAUACAGUGAGUUAUUUGAAGUUUUCUGUACCCAUUCUUCUUUGAAGUUGCUGGACCUGAUGGUAGCCAAGACAGGUUCAUUGAGGGUGCAGAGAAUUAGGUUACACUCUUUAAAUUUGUGAGAACAUCUUAUACUUGCUACCACUGUGCUGAAGAUGAUGAUAAGAGGAUGACGAUGAUGAGUACCAUUUAUCGAGCCAUUCACAGAUUAUCUCAAGCUUCACAAAGGCAGGUGCUGUGUCUGUUGUUCACCAUGGGAUUCCAUUGUUCAGCACUAUGAAGCUCUUGGUCAUUACUUAUUAAAUAAACAAAACCUUUGACGGGUGAUGUGGCAUUGUCCCCAUUUUAGGAAACUGAGGCUUAAGCGGUUAAAGCACUAAACUGUUACAUGGUAGCAGAAUUCGGUAGUGUCCUCCUGGCUUCCAAGCUGUGCAUUUCACUCCAUUCCCCCUCUCACUACUGCUCCUUUGGGCCUUUGACCUCUUGUCCGGGGUUUGGCAGUCAGAACUCCCUUCAGGAUUUAGUUGACAUUUCAUCACCCGAAGCUUCCCUAAACA